GUUGAAAUAAUGGUCAACAAUUUGUUCCAACCCCAAAUUCCAAAACUUGCGAAGCAAAAUUGUGAGAAUUUGUGAAUUCAAAUGAAAGCACUAUUCGGUUCAUAAAAGCUGAGAGAUUUUGUAAAUAAUGGUUAUUGUGACCCCCUACAACAAGAAGAAGCCAUUUACAAUCAAGCCCAUCAAAGCAAUCUCAUCACAUUAAGAAAAAAA
rnacentral:lncRNA from 1 species